CAUUAGCGGUGAAGUCGCUGACGGAUACGUUGUGGAUAGGAGCCUUUUGACGGCUGACAUGGAGGAAGCCAGCCUUCCGCCUCACUUGACCUUCAGCAAUGCGAGGAUAUUGCAAGGAAACAGGACUGGUUAACCCAGUUUCCAGUGGAGGUAACCUUGCCCUGGUGGUCAUUGUGCUUCAAGACCUGAUGACUGGAUUUAUAGCCACCGAAGGAAUUUGAUGACUGCCAGGGAGAUUGAACAUCAACCAUUUGCGUCCUUUGCUUGCACGACUGAUUGCCAACUGAGUGCCAGUGUUAUCUUUCACUUGAAGAAAAGUGUAUUUACCUAUAUCUGUGGGCUGAGGCUUGCCACUGAGACCCCGUGUGUUUGGACCAGAAUUAUCGGC